rnacentral:rRNA from 1 species
GACGAACGCUGGCGGCGUGCUUAACACAUGCAAGUCGAACGGAAAGGCCUAGCUUGCUGGGUACUCGAGUGGCGAACGGGUGAGUAACACGUGGGUGAUCUGCCCCUGACUUUGGGAUAAGCCUGGGAAACUGGGUCUAAUACCGGAUAUUCAUUUUUCCUCGCAUGGGGAUUUGUGGAAAGCUUUUGCGGUUGGGGAUGGGCCCGCGGCCUAUCAGCUUGUUGGUGGGGUAAUGGCCUACCAAGGCGACGACGGGUAGCCGACCUGAGAGGGUGAUCGGCCACACUGGGACUGAGACACGGCCCAGACUCCUACGGGAAGCAGCAGUGGGGAAUAUUGCACAAUGGGCGCAAGCCUGAUGCAGCGACGCCGCGUGAGGGAUGACGGCCUUCGGGUUGUAAACCUCUUUCAGCUCCGACGAAGCGCAAGUGACGGUAGGAGCAGAAGAAGCACCGGCCAACUACGUG